UUUCGUUCCCAUAUAUGGGGCACUACAUUCUUUUUAUUCCAAUAAAAGGAUCAAUUGGUAUAGAAUGAAAAAAUAAAAGUUCUCCAUGUGUAAUCCAGCAGUUAUUUUUUUACAAGUGUAUAAAGUUGGCAAUAGUCCCAUCCUCGCGUAAUCAUUUUUUAAAGGUGAGAGAUGCGGCUUCGCGUCACGUGCUUGCCGCUAGACCAAUGAGAUGGCAUAACGUCGGAACGACAUGUAAACAUGGUCUAAGAUGGCAGCGCCCUUGUCGUCACUAUCGAGUAGCGAAGAGGAUGAAAUUAUUGUCAGACCUCCACCAAAAGUCAGUAAAAGGGUUUAUAAAAAAUGCUAUAUGCAUCUCACGUCCAUAAAAAAAGAAGAAACGAAGGAUUUUACACGCACACGGUGGGAUACAUUUAGAAACUGCAUCAAACGGUGGCUUGACUUGCAGGGUGAGAGUCAGAAAAUAGCAGAAACAUACAAACAUUGUCUAGAAAUCGAGUUUGACCGUGUGCCCGAAGACGCAGGGUUUCACUCCACUUGCUACCGGCGUUUUAUUGACAAAAAUCGCUUGGAUGUGGCCGAGAAACGAGUUUCACGGUGCCCUGAAGCUGGUGAUGAUCAUAACACAGACCAGUCUGUGUCAUCGGGAAAUAGUAUUUCGUCAACGUAUUGCCCAACAAAAAAACUUAGGUCCAGUACCGGACUGCCGAUAGCUUGUUUGGGUCCUGUACUUCCUGCUUUGUGCAUAAUUUGCAAGAAAACGGACAAGUACAUCACUGUGGCAGGCAAACGCCAGAAGGACAAUCUUUCACAAGCGGAGACGCUGUCGGCAGGUAUAAAGCAUACGUUUGAACUUAAAGUUAUAUGUCAUAUACUGAGAACCAUAACUAACUUUCAAAUACAUCAAUAUUUACAUUACAUAUACAUUAUAAUGUUUAUAGUGCAGUCAGUUUUUGCAUACACAUAUGCAUGAACAGUGAGAACUGUUAUGUUUUUUUAAAUACAUAUUUAUUACAGGCCAGUUGCUCAAAGCAGCUGAGAUGAAGGAAGACACUAGCAUUCUUGUGCAUAUUAAAGACAAAGACUGUGUGUCUUUGGAAGUACGAUAUCACAAGUCCUGUUACAGACAGUACACCAGGUUCUUGACAAAGUCUACUAGAUUCCAUGCUGAAUCCUUUUGACUCACACCAAGAUGGCAUUGUGUGUCUUAGCUCUGGAAUAGUUGCAGCUAAAGAAAUUAUGAUGGAUUUGCUCACAGCUUCAGAAAAGGGGGAAAAUGCUGUUCAGGAAUUUAUGGACCAAAGACUGCUAUCACCAUCAGUUGACGUAUUUGCUCCCAUCAAAAAACUAAAACUAAAGACAUUCAGUGAUCAAGCCAAGACAAAUAAGAAAUCUGCAGCAGGCAAGGAAGUAAUUCUACGUGCAGAUAAGAAGCUUUUCUCCAGACGGCUCGUCAUAGGUCAAAGAAGAAAGAUAUACUUGAGGGAAAUUCUCUCCUACUCCUUGGGAACUGUGUCAUAUCCUUUAUCAAGUGCUGAUGGUUCUCUUGGAAAAACAAACAAAUCAGCUCUCAUGGAUGUUCUGGAAACCAAAGGUGGAGACUGUUUAGUUGACAGAGUACCAGUAAAUGGAGCUAUACUUUUUGAUGGCAUGGCAGUCAUUCAAGCCAUUCAGUCCAUACCAAGUACCUUCGGGGAGCUUGCUGACACUAUUCUACAGUACUUAGUCAAGCUUGCUCUCAAGCACAACUGUACACGGAUAGAUUUUGUGAUAGACAAGUAUCCAGAAAUUAGUAUUAAAAAUGUAGAAUGAUCACGCAGAGCUGUUGGUGGCACACAACAGGUAAAAAUUUAUGGACGGGAUCAAAAGACACAACACAAUGGAAGAAGUUUCUGUCGGAUGGGACAAACAAAGAAGCACUGGCAGAAUUCCUCUAUGUAAUGUGGCGAGACGCUGAUCUUACAAUUUUAGGAAACAGAGGAAAGAGCUACAUGUGAAGAUGGUUCUGAUGAAAGUGAUAAGGAUAGUAGUGAUGAGUAAAGGUGAUCUGUGUCACAGGUUACUUGGAUUUGAGCUGUAAUGAAGCUGCUGUAAAAUGUUUAAUAUUUGUCGUUAUUGAAAAAUUAGUGCAGCAGUCCAGCAUUUCAAGUCAUUUUAGCCAACUUGGACCAAAAACUGUUUUUGUCUUUAAUUUUGUGUGAUUCCUAAGUGCCUACUGAACAUUUUAAUGAAUAAAACAUAACAAAAAUGUUUAAGUUUCAA